rnacentral:SRP_RNA from 1 species
GGGUAAGUCCUGUGCGACCAGCUCCCACUCAAUCCCCCAGGACAGGAAUGUAGCAAGGGUAGGUGGUUGUAGCGGUGCGACACAGAUCGCUUACCCUUU